GUAAAAACCAUUUCUAAAAGAUAAGAUUAAUCUUCCAAAAAACUAAUUGAGUAAUUUUGGCAACGCGACGCUAAGAUAAAAAAUUAUGCCUGGAAGAUACAGUUAAUAAUCAUGAAUAAUAUUCGAUUAUUUUAGCAACGCACCCCAAAAUUUUCUGCUGUCACUUAACACGUGGUUGAAUUUUUGUGCAGAAUACAAUUUUUUCUCGCUGAUUCGUUCGUGAAAAUUUCACGCUUUCGGGAGAAUUCAGAACGGAACAGCACCGGUUCCGACGGUGCGAUGGAUCGAUUGGCGACGGCGCCAGUUCCGGUUGUGCGAAGUCGCAGUUAGCCGGAUGUCUCCGGCUCCACCGGUUCCGACGGUGCGAUGGAUCGAUUGGCGACGGCGCCAGUUCCCGUUGUGCAAGGUCGCAGCUAGCCGGAUGUCUCCGGCUCCACCGGUUCCAACGGGGCGAGGGUCGGUAGUCCACAACAGCACUAACAAGGUCAUCAGCACAAUCACGAAACUUUUUACAGUGUUUUUACAGUGUGAAGUGUUUUUUUUUAUUUCAAAUAAAUUUUAUUU